rnacentral:lncRNA from 1 species
UUGAAUUGGAUUGAAAAUAUGAUUUGCAAACUCAUUUAUGUUUGAGCAUGGACUACGGUGAAUAUGUGUUUGCUGUUAAUAAAUAUUUGAGGAAUUAUUCUGUAUAUGAGAAAUUGAGAUUUUCAGGUUUUAAAACCUAGCAGGCUAAGUGCCGGUGAUCUGAAUCAGGCUAUAAGCCUAGCAGGCUAAGUGCCGGUGAACUGAAUCAGGCUAUAAGCCUAGCAGGCUAAGUGCCGGUGAUCUGAAUCAGGCUAUAAGCCUAGCAGGCUAAGUGCCAGUGAUCUGAAUCAGGCUAUAAGCCUAGCAGGCUAAGUGCCGGUGAACUAAAUUAGGCUAUAAGCCUAGCAGGCUAAGUGCCGGUGAUCUGAAUCAGGCUUUAAGCCUAACAAGCUAAGUGCCAGUGAAUCUGUUUAAAUUAAGUGAUUAUUUGCAUUGGGUAUAUAUGUGAUUUUGGUUAUAUGUAAUGGAUAAAUAUAUGAACAUUUGUUUCUAAGUAUUUGAUGAGCAUAUAAACGUUCGAAUCUUU